rnacentral:lncRNA from 13 species
CAAAGGCAGCCCGACGGAGCCCUCAAAAACGAAGGUGCAAAGGACUGCACGGUGAAUUCAGUAAACAGAAAUGCUACAAUGAGCAUCAUUGUAAAUAUUUUCUCAGGC